CCUACGGGAGGCAGCAGUGGGGAAUCUUGCGCAAUGGGCGAAAGCCUGACGCAGCAACGCCGCGUGCGGGACGACGGCCCUCGGGUUGUAAACCGCUUUCAGCAGGAACGAUGAUGACGGUACCUGCAGAAGAAGCUCCGGCCAACUACGUGCCAGCAGCCGCGGUAAUACGUAGGGAGCGAGCGUUGUCCGGAUUUAUUGGGCGUAAAGAGCUCGUAGGCGGUUCGGUAAGUCGGGUGUGAAAACUCUGGGCUCAACCCGGAGAGGCCACUCGAUACUGCCGUGACUUGAGUCUGGUAGGGGAGCACGGAAUUCCUGGUGUAGCGGUGAAAUGCACAGAUAUCAGGAGGAACACCGGUGGCGAAGGCGGUGCUCUGGGCCAGUACUGACGCUGAGGAGCGAAAGCGUGGGGAGCGAACAGGAUUAGAUACCCCAGUAGU
rnacentral:rRNA from 1 species